GAUGAACGCUAGCGGCAGGCCUAAUACAUGCAAGUCGAACGGUAAGUAUGAUAGCAAUAUUGUACCAAGAGUGACGUACGGGUGCGUAACACGUAUGCAACCUACCCUUUACAGAUGGAUAGCUCGGGGAAACUCGAAUUAACCCGUCAUAAUAUAAUUGAAUGGCAUCAUUUGGUUAUUAAAUCUACGGAGGUAAAGGAUGGGCAUGCGUCUGAUUAGUUAGUUGGCGGGGUAACGGCCCACCAAGACGAUGAUCAGUAGGGGAACUGAGAGGUUGAUCCCCANACUGGCACUGAGAUACGGGCCAGACUCCGUACGGGAGCAGCAGUAGGGAAUAUUGGUCAAUGGAUGGAAGUCUGAACCAGCCAU
rnacentral:rRNA from 1 species